UACCAUACACAGGUUGGCUCUCCCCAGA
rnacentral:piRNA from 1 species